rnacentral:rRNA from 1 species
GAUGAACGCUGGCGGCGUGCCUAAUACAUGCAAGUCGAACGCAUAGCGAAAGGUGCUUGCACCUUUCAAGUGAGUGGCGAACGGGUGAGUAACACGUGGACAACCUGCCUCAAGGCUGGGGAUAACAUUUGGAAACAGAUGCUAAUACCGAAUAAAACUUAGUGUCGCAUGACACAAAGUUAAAAGGCGCUUCGGCGUCACCUAGAGAUGGAUCCGCGGUGCAUUAGUUAGUUGGUGGGGUAAAGGCCUACCAAGACAAUGAUGCAUAGCCGAGUUGAGAGACUGAUCGGCCACAUUGGGACUGAGACACGGCCCAAACUCUACGGGAGGCUGCAGUAGGGAAUCUUCCACAAUGGGCGAAAGCCUGAUGGAGCAACGCCGCGUGUGUGAUGAAGGCUUUCGGGUCGUAAAGCACUGUUGUAUGGGAAGAACAGCUAGAAUAGGAAAUGAUUUUAGUUUGACGGUACCAUACCAGAAAGGGACGGCUAAAUACGUG